rnacentral:snRNA from 1 species
AUCACUUCUUGACCUUUUGGCUAAGAUCAAGUGUAGUAUCUGUUCUUAUCAGCUUAGUAUCUGAUAUGUCCUCUAUCCAAAGACAAUCUAUUAAAUUCUUCUUAAGCUGAUAAGAAACUUCAGCAAAGUCUCAGGAUACAAAAUCAAU